UCCGGUUUGUCACCGGCUGUCACCUACAUGUCAAGCCCAGGUAAGGUUCUUCGCGUUGCGUCGAAUUGAACCACAUGCUCCGCUGCUUGUGCGGGUCCCCGUCAAUUCCUUUGAGUUUUAGCCUUGCGGCCGUACUCCCCAGGCGGGGUACUUAAUGCGUUAGCUUCGGCACAGGAGGAGUCGACACCUCCUACACCUAGUACCCAUCGUUUACGGCGUGGACUAC
rnacentral:misc_RNA from 1 species